rnacentral:tRNA from 1 species
GGGCCGUUGGCCCGAGGGUCCGGGCUCGCUGCUCAUAACAGCGCGGACACGGUUCGAUUCCGUGACGGCCUACCA